CCCAAAUCCAGCCAUGUUAUGAGAAAAGUUUACAUUUAUGAGGUGCAGAGCUGUGAUAAUGACAGAAUCAGGCAUAAUGACUCAAGCAUUGUUCCAGGGAAUAAUGGAGGGAUUUCAUGACGACAAUUUCAUUUUAGUUCUUGGUGUUAAAAGAAGUUACUACAAGGUAUUCACCUGUGAGGAUCAAAAAAGUAAAAGAAAGUGGCUGUGGAAACCAAAC